AUGCACUUUGAUGGUUCAAAGAUGUGCACCCAUUUGGGAGCCGGCAUUGUCCUCACCUCUCCCAAAGGCGACAAGCUCAGAUACACAUUGCAAAUCCAUUUUGCUGCCUCCAACAAUGUGGCUGAGUAUGAGGCACUAAUACACAAACUCUGGCUUGCCAAAGAGCUCAGCAUUUGCUGGAUUCUGUGUUACGGUGACUCCGUCUUGGGGGUCCAGCAGUCGUCUGGCGACUGGGACACCAAGGAUGCAAACAUGGCAAGCUACUACUUCCUCGUCCAGCAACUCAACGGAUAUUUUCAAGGGUGCGAAUUGCUCCAUGUGCCACGAAGCGAUAACAAGCAAGCAGUUGCUCUGGCGCGGAUUGGCUCCACCCGGCAAGCCAUUCCAGCCGGCGUAUCCUUCCAGCGACUCAUCAAGCCAUCCAUCAAGCCUUCACCAGAGUCAGAUUCUAUCUUCAUGCCGGCUACUCCUAAAAUAGUCAGAUUCGGCUCCAAAUUAUCGGCAAUCGGCCCGGGGACUUCGGCAGGCGGCCCGGGGACUGUAGCAGUCGCACCCGGCCUGGGGACUUCAGAUUUUGGCCCGGAGACUUCGGCAGUCGGCCCGGGGACUUCAGCAGUCGGCUCGGGGACUGCACCAAUACAGCAAGUGGCGGCCGAAUCCAGCCCGCCACCUCUCAACCCAGCCGCCCCAGUGUAA
rnacentral:rRNA from 1 species